AAGUCGUAACAAGGUUUCCGUAGGUGAACCUGCGGAAGGAUCAUUAAAUAAUUUUAAUUUUGGCUUAGCCAUUAUUAUCUAUUUACUGUGAACUGUAUUAUUAUCUGAUGUUUGAGGGAUGCUUCUGCGCUAUACGGAUAGGCGCUGGAGAUGUUAACCGAGUCAGGAUCAGGCUUAGGCCUGGUAUCCUAUUAUUAUUUACCAAAAGAAUUCAGAAUUAAUAUUGUAACAUAGACCUAAAAAAUCUAUAAAACAACUUUUAACAACGGAUCUCUUGGUUCUC
rnacentral:misc_RNA from 1 species